rnacentral:rRNA from 1 species
GACGAACGCUGGCGGCGUGCUUAACACAUGCAAGUCGAACGAAGUGGCGAACGUGUGAGUAACGCGUAAUCAACCUGCCCUUCAGCGGGGGACAACAGUUGGAAACGACUGCUCAUACCGCAUACUGAAGGAGGGGAUUGCGUCUGAUUAGCUGGUGGGGGGGGUAACGGCCCACCAAGGCGAUGGUCAGUAGCCGGGCUGAGAGGAUGAACGGCCACAUUGGGACUGAGACACGGCCCAGACUCCCACGGGAGGCAGCAGGGGGGAAUCUUCCGCAAUGGACGAAAGUCUGACGGAGCAACGCCGCGGGAGUGAUGACGGCCUUCGGGUUGUAAAGCUCUGUUAAUCGGGACGCGGUACCGGAAUAGAAAGCCACGGCUAACUACGUGCCAGCAGCCGCGGUAAUUC